rnacentral:rRNA from 1 species
UACGGGGGAGCAAGCGUUGUUCGGAUUUACUGGGCGUAAAGGGCGCGUAGGCGGCCACCGCAAGUCAAUUGUGAAAUCUCCGAGCUUAACUCGGAAAGGUCAACUGAUACUGUGCGGCUAGAGUGCGGAAGGGGCAACUGGAAUUCUUGGUGUAGCGGUGAAAUGCGUAGAUAUCAAGAGGAACACCUGCGGCGAAGGCGGGUUGCUGGGCCGACACUGACGCUGAGGCGACGAAAGCCAGGGGAGCGAACGGG